rnacentral:rRNA from 1 species
AGCGAACGCUGGCGGCAGGCCUAACACAUGCAAGUCGAACGAACCUUUCGGGGUUAGUGGCGGACGGGUGAGUAACACGUGGGAACGUGCCUUUAGGUUCGGAAUAACUCAGGGAAACUUGUGCUAAUACCGAAUGUGCCCUUCGGGGGAAAGAUUAAUCGCCUUUAGAGCGGCCCGCGUCUGAUUAGCUAGUUGGUUGAGGUAAUGGCUCACCAAGGCGACGAUCAGUAGCUGAUCUGAGAGGAUGAUCAGCCACAUUGGGACUGAGACACGGCCCAAACUCCUACGGGAGGCAGCAGUGGGGAAUCUUGCGCAAUGGGCGAAAGCCUGACGCAGCCAUGCCGCGUGAAUGAUGAAGGUCUUAGGAUUGUAAAAUUCUUUCACCGGGGACGAUAAUGACGGUACCCGGAGAAGAAGCCCCGGCUAACUUCGUG